UAGAGUCUUCUGAUGAGAGUGAUGGGGAAGAAACGGUGAUUAACAGUGUUGUCACGGAAGAAGUUGACCGAGUUUUGAAAUCAUUGGAAUGUCUGGUAGAAGCAGUAUGAUAAGGAGAUUAAUACACUUCUGGGGUUUGCUAGUAUAGGUAGUCGAAAAGAGAACACAGUAGGCUGUUACAUAAAACACCUGUCUCCAGAUUACAUCUUCAAACUAAGGGUAACCAUGGCAUCAGUGACAGAGAGGGAGAAAGAUCUGGUGAUUCUUAUAGCAUUGCACACGGUCAGUGUGAAACAGAGUGACUUUACACAACUGGCCAAGCAAGCUGUACAAACAAAAUGGAAAAUGAACCAGGACGUCUUAUUUAAUGAAAGGGUUUGCAGUCUGUCGUGAAGCGUGUAUACGGCAUCAGUAGAACACACCUGACUCUCCUCCACCAGUCAUACAAGGAGAAGGGUCUAAUGCCUCCCAUCAAAAAGAGAGCUUGCUCAAGCAAGCACAGGUUACACCUGAAGCAUGAGAACUUGCAGCGAGUGGUGAACUUCAACAACUAUGCAGAGGAUAAUGCAAUAGUAUUACCAGGAUUCUACCCAGGACACAAACACUUUGGUGGAAAGCUCCUGCAAUCUCAUGUGACAAAAGCAGCAGUGUGGGGUCUCUACAAGGACUCAAUGACAACACUUGAGGUACGUGGAAAUUGCUGCCCCACAUCUCAAGCACUAAGCCCACACGAGCUCCACCACAGUUUAUUUAUUUUUAUUUAAUUUAACUAGGCAAGUCAGUUAAGAACAAAUUCUUAUUUUCAAUGAUGGCCUAGGAACAGUUGGUUAACUGCCUGUUCAGGGGCUGAACAACAUAUUUGUACCUUGUCAGCUCAGGGGUUUGAACUUGCAACCAUCUGGUUACUAGUUCAACGUUCUAACCACUAGGCUACCCUGCCACCCCGAGUGUGGACCUUCACUUCCUGACCACAGGCCACACCAAGUUUCCCCCCCAACUGGUGCUUCGGCCUCAUCAAGCAGCGCUUCAGAAAGACCAGUGAACACUUUUUCUGAGAUUGCUGGUGUUCUGAAGGACAGCACUGUGACAUAGGUCAACAUCCCACAGCUGGUUGGACUGGAGGAUGGUACGGUGCUGGUGGAAAGCUGGCAACAACAUCUGACUCCGUACUUCAGGCCGCUGCAAAAGAUCAAGCAGUUCCAGAAAUUCAGCUUCGAUGCUCUGGAGCCUGAUGUUGUUGUCACCAAGGAGUGUUCUGACUCAGUGUCAGCUGCUGCGCAACGCUGACACUCUUCCUACCGUAGGUGAUCUGCCUGUACAAGCACCACCUGGACAGAACACAGCUAGACAAAUUUAGCUUUUGGGGAAGAUCAGGGAGUUUUGUGACGAAGAGGGUAUGGACAUCACAUGCCAUGCACCAAAGUCAAGGGCAGGACAGGAACAGGCUUUCCGAAUAUAGAUUCCCUUGUCCAUGCGUGGUUUGGACGGACCAAUCUUCAGCACUAUCUGCAGUGCCUCUUUUCACAUGAUUAUCUCCUAACAGACAUGCCAUAUGUUGCUGCUACUAUUUUUUAUAUAUUUUUUAUCCUGCAGAUCGGACACCUUACCCCUGAUUAUAUGCAUAUAAAUACCUCAUCAAUCACU